GUGUCGGUGGGGUUCCCAGAUUGAUAAUCUGGGGGUCAGGAGUUCGAAUCUCUUAGGGCGCGCCA
rnacentral:tRNA from 1 species